AGUAGCCGAAAUUUUUACGGUGCCUAUUUAAUUUACGAUUAUAAUUCGUUGAUAAUAAAGGCUUAAAAGGGAAUGUGGUGUAAGUCCACAACUGUUCCCGCAACUGUAUUUAGGGCUGAAUUUCAGAACCACUGGUAUACCACUGGGAAGGUGAAAUUUGGGUGAUCCCUAAGAGUCAGGAGACCUGCCAUGAAAAUACAUUACUAA
rnacentral:ncRNA from 17 species